rnacentral:miRNA from 1 species
GCUAAGGAAGUCCUGUGCUCAG